rnacentral:rRNA from 1 species
UACGUAGGUGGCAAGCGUUAUCCGGAUUUACUGGGUGUAAAGGGCGUGUAGGCGGGACUGCAAGUCAGAUGUGAAAACCACGGGCUCAACCUGUGGCCUGCAUUUGAAACUGUAGUUCUUGAGUACUGGAGAGGCAGACGGAAUUCCUAGUGCAGCGGUGAAAUGCGUAGAUAUUAGGAGGAACACCAGUGGCGAAGGCGGUCUGCUGGACAGCAACUGACGCUGAGGCGCGAAAGCGUGGGGAGCAAACAGG